rnacentral:rRNA from 1 species
ACAGAGGAGCCAAGCGUUGUCCGGAUUGACUGGGCGUAAAGCGCACGCAGGCGGUUGUGCGCGUGGGGUGUGAAAUCUGGCCGCUUAACGGCCAGGCGCCAUCCCAUACGGCAUAACUGGAGGGAUGCAGAGGUCGGUGGAAUUGCCGGUGUAGUGGUGAAAUGCGUAGAGAUCGGCAGGAACACCCAGGGGGAAACCAGCCGACUGGGCAUCUACUGACGCUGAGGUGCGAGAGCGUGGGGAGCGAACCGGAUUAGAUACCCGGGUAGUCCACGUCGUAAACGAUGGCCACUCGGCCUUUGGAGGCGGAAUCUCCGUCUGUGGGGGCCUUAGCUAACGCGGGAAGUGGCCCGCCUGGGAACUACGAGCGCAAGCUUA